CCUACGGGGGGCAGCAGUGGGGAAUAUUGCACAAUGGGGGAAACCUUGAUGCAGCGACGCCGCGUGAGUGAAGAAGUAAUUCGUUAUGUAAAGCUCUAUCAGCAGGGAAGAAAAUGACGGUACCUGAGUAAGAAGCCCCGGCUAACUACGUGCCAGCAGCCGCGGUAAUACGUAGGGGGCAAGCGUUAUCCGGAUUUACUGGGUGUACAGGGAGCGUAGACGGCAGUGCAAGUCUGGAGUGAAAGGCGGGGGCUCAACCCCCGGACUGCUCUGGAAACUGUACGGCUGGAGGGCAGGAGAGGUAAGUGGAAUUCCUAGUGUAGCGGUGAAAUGGGGAGAUAGUAGGAGGAACACCAGUGGCGAAGGCGGCUUACUGGACUGUAACUGACGUUGAGGCUCGAAAGCGUGGGGAGCAAACAGGAUUAGAUACCCUUGUAGUC
rnacentral:rRNA from 1 species